CCUACGGGAGGCAUCAGUGGGGAAUAUUGCACAAUGGGGGAAACCCUGAUGCAGCGACGCCGCGUGAGUGAAGAAGUAAUUCGUUAUGUAAAGCUCUAUCAGCAGGGAAGAAAAUGACGGUACCUGAGUCAGAAGCACCGGCUAACUACGUGCCAGCAGCCGCGGUAAUACGUCGGGGGCAAGCGUUAUCCGGAUUUACUGGGUGUAAAGGGAGCGUAGACGGCAGUGCAAGUCUGGCGUGAAAGGCGGGGGCUCAACCCCCGGACUGCUCUGGAAACUGUACGGCUGGAGUGCAGGAGAGGUAAGUGGAAUUCCUAGUGUAGCGGUGAAAUGCGUAGAUAUUAGGAGGAACACCAGUGGCGAAGGCGGCUUACUGGACUGUAACUGACGUUGAGGCUCGAAAGCGUGGGGAGCAAACAGGAUUAGAUACCCUUGUAGUC
rnacentral:rRNA from 1 species